UUCUAAGGGUGCAAGCACUUAGCGACACUAGUAGGCGAUUCAAAGUAUAAGGUAGUGCAGGUGGCCCCUUAUAUUGGUGAGGAGCAGGCUAUGGUUGACAAGGGUGCAUGAUCUAUUUGCUAAGGGUUGCUACAGGAUUUCACAGUUCAAGAUUGUUGCAGUUUACCUUCUUUCACAUGUAAUAUUAUGUCAUUUUGUAUUCGUAAGAAUGGGGACAUUGGUUUGUAUAAGUCAUUAUGGGCAACCACUUGUAUAUUCUAAAUGAAAAUUUAAACUUCCCUUUUAGUUUA